rnacentral:rRNA from 1 species
UAUCUCUGUAGAGUCUGCAUAUCAAUAAGCGGAGGAAAAGAAACUAACAGGGAUUCCCUUAGUAAAGGCGAGUGAAGCGGGAAGAGCUCAAAUUUGAAAUCUUCAAGGUUCUACCUUGACGAAUUGUAGUUUAAAGAAGUGUUUUCUGUUAGAUGAGUAGCAAAAGUUCCUUGGAAUAGGGACAUCAUAGAGGGUGAGAAUCCCGUAUUUGACCGUUAUUAUUCAGCUGUGUGAUACACUUUCAAAGAGUCGGAUUGUUUGGGAAUGCAGUCCAAAAUGGGUGGUAAAUUUCAUCUAAAGCUAAAUAUUGGCGAGAGACCGAUAGCGAACAAGUACCGUGAGGGAAAGAUGAAAAGAACUUUGAAAAGAGAGUUAAACAGUACGUGAAAUUGUCAAAAGGGAAGCGUUUGACACCAGUGUUGUUUUUCCGAAAAUCAAUUACGAAUGGCUUGAUUUUGUGUUGUAUUGACCUUAUCAGCUUUCUUCACUUUUUUCGAGUCUUUCUUAAUGCACUUUUCGGUUAACAAGUCAACAUCAAUUUCUUUUGUUGUAAAAGAGUAUUCGGAAGGUGGCUUUCUUUUCGGAGAAAGUGUUUAUAGCCCUAUGACUUCCUGCAAUCGGAGAGAUUGAGGUCUGCAGCGUAGAUCCUUCUGGAUUAGAUACACUUGUGCUAAGUUGUAGCUUUUCAUAGACAACUUGUUGACUAUGUUUAGUCAUGCGGCUUACUCGCUUAUGCUAUUUUACCUACGCUUAGGAUGUUGACUGAUAUGUAGUCGUA